AAGUUAAGGCUGCAGCUGACAAUAAAGGAUUGUGUUGUGAGCAGUUGUCUGGUUUGCUCUACUACGUGUGCCCCUUGGUCAGGGGAGAAUGGUUGAAAUUUAUAAGAAGUUUUCCUGGCUGGGCCCUGCUGGAGUUCCAUAGUCUGCUAAAGAAGACUGAUGGGUCUGUUCUGCUGCUCCCGUGCUGCUGCCUGGGAUCUUCAUCCAAGACACAGCAUUCCCAUUACCCUGCAACAGCUCUGACCUUCUCUCAAAGCUGUCAGGAAUGAUGAAUUUGUGUCCUGCAAACUUAGAUGGAGGAUGUUACGUUUUUUGUCCUCUGGGUACAAGGCAUGUAACUGAUAGAUUCUGGAAAGUGCUGCAUGUUUAAUGCAGUUGCAUGCUUUUGUCUGCAGGGGCUGCAUUUCCUUCCUGGCAGCUUGUGUUACCCUGCCAUAGUCAUGGAAGCCAAGGAAGCCUCCCUGGGAGCCAGCUGGCAGGUACCAGGAGGAUGGCCUUUGGUGUCAGGGCUUGGUUCUCUCCUGCCACCCAGAAAGCUUCAGUGGUGUGUCCCUGGCAGCCUGUGAGGUGUGCAGGGGCUCUCUGGGAUGCUGCAGCACAGUGUGUUUCUGUAGUGUUGGGUGCCUGUUUUUAAUAAAAUUUGAGUAAUGAGAGAGUUCA